AGUCUUCUAGGCUUGGCCAAUUGGAAUUUCAAAGCCUAUCUUUGAGAUUCCUGAGAAACUGGCUUUCUCUUUCAAGCAUCCAGCUCUUUCUAUUGAAAGCCAGAGGGUUUUCUGUCUAUUGUGAACCCUCUAAAUGUACAAAAAUCAUAAUGUGCCUGUGUCUUGUUUAUUCUAGGCAGAUCUACCUUCUCCCUGAAAAUGAUGAGCAUCUCAGCCUCGGUGUGUGGAAAGUCACAAGAAGGCAACUUUGGAAAUAAAAAAAGAAUAGAGACGUUGAAAAACAAAUGAAAAAUAUGAUUCUUGCUACAUCUCUUCUGGUUGAUCCCGUUCUGCCUUUUGUCAUGCUUGAAUGUCUUCUGAUAUUUGAGUAUUUUUUCCACUUUUUGCUACCUCUCACUGAAGUUGUCAGCUUUAGUUAAGGGCUACAGUGGUGGCUGCAGAAAGUGACCUCAAGUGUAAUGGUAGCAAUUACACCACCAAAGACAGAGGGUUACACUUAUUUCCUGCAUAAAAACCCCCAAUUUUAAUCAGUCAUGGAGAUGGAUUUGAGACUGAUCUCCCAUCUCUUCAGCUGCAGCACCUGAUUAAAGCCUUCUUCCCUGAAAAUACUUGUUGGCUCAGUGAUUGGCUUUCUGUCUGAUGAAGAGCAGGACCUAGACAGGACCACUCGUGUUUUGAUCUCAGCACCCGUAUAUAAGAACAGAGUCAGUUUUGCUUGGCUUUGGAGGAGAAUUUGAAUGAAAAUGCAGAAGGACAUGUCUCUUCCCAAUUAUGCACUCCGGACUCUAUGAACAGAUGACAGACCACACAGUCAUUAAAGUCUCUAAGAGUUCAGCAGAGAGGGAAAUCACUAUGAACUGGCAUGUGGAAGAAUGGGGAAGAGUGACCUGGACCUUCAAAGCUGGCAUUCUGAAAUACAGAAGGAGAGCCCUGGAGACUGUGACUAAGUCUGCUUGCCUAGGUAAAAAGGUAAUGCUGCAGAGAAGUACAGAUAAAGAUGGAAAUGCACUUUGAGGCCAGAUUGUGGAGGUUCUUAAAUGCCAGGAUAGUAAGCGUGGAUUUGUUUUAGCAGCUACUGUGAAUGCCUAAGAGCUUUGGUUUAGAGGAAUGACAUGCUCAGUCCAGGGCAUAAGAAAAAUAAAUCUGACAUUCUUUCAUAGAAAGGAGGAAUGGAGAAUAGAAGCAGAGAGAACAGGUAGGAGACUGUAACCCUAGCCCAGAUGGAGGUGAAAUUGAAAUGAGUUUCAGACUAAAGUAAGGUAUAGAGACUGUAUUUGUUGCUGAUUGCUGCUGUAAAAAAUUACCACAGAGUCUUAAGGCAACACUAAUCUCUUCUCUUACAGUUCUGGAGGUCAGAGUCAAAAAUCAUGGUGUUGGCAGGACUGCCUCCUUGUGUUUCCCAGCUUCUGGAGACUGUCUGCAUUUCUAGGCUCAUGGCCUCUUCCUCCAUCUUCAGAGUGCAUUACUCCAACCUUUGCUCCUUUUGUCCCAUCUCCUCCUUCUGCCUUUGAUCUUCCUGCCUCUCUUGUAUAAGGACCCUUGUGAUUACUUUGUGCCCACCUGGCUCAUCCAGGAUUGUCUCCCCAUCUCAAGGUCCUCACUGAAUCCCAUCUGCAAAGUCUUUUAUGCCAUGUUAGGUAUCAUAUUGUCAAGUCGUGGGGAUGGGGAUAUGGACAUUUUGGGGGGAGGUGCCUUAUUCAGCCUACUACAGAGACACAGAAACAUCCACCCCUCACUAUUGUCUCACACUACUUCCCUUUCAAAGACACUGAGAUCCAAAGGAACAUGAUUACUUAUAUCCAAAACAUACCUUGUUCUUUGCUGCUUUUAAUUCUGUUCUUUUCUUUGCUUAGAAUAUCUUUCCUCAAUAUCGGCAGCCUCAAAUGCUUCCAUCCCCAAAAAUCUUUCUGCUGUCCUCCCUCCUCCCCUCCCUUUGACUUAUGACUUGAGGAAUGAUUCUCUCUCCUUUGUCUUCUGCCUGUACUUUAUAUGACUCCUGUUAUUUUAACAAAAACCUUUAUUUUGAAAUAAUUUCAGACUUUCAAACAAUGCAAACAUAGUACAAAAAAAUUGCAUAUACUAUUUGCUCAGUGUUUUCAAAUCUUAAUAACUUGAAUAGCCAUAGCAUAAUGAUCCAGACCAGGAAAUUAACAUUGAUACAAUACCAUUAACUAAUCUACAGACUUGACUGAGCUCCUAACAAUUGUCUCACUAAUGUCCUUUAUCUGGUCCAGAAUCACAUGUUGCAUUUAGCUGGCAUGCUUCUUUAAUUUUCUUCAAUCAGAGACAGCUUCCCAGUCUUUCUUCAUCUUUCAUAAUGUUACUACUUUUGAAGAGUCUUGACAGUUAUUUUGUAGAAUGUCUCUUUAUCUGGGUUCAUUCAUGUUUUCUCCUGGUUUGAUUCAGAUUAUGCAUUUAUGGCACAGAUAUCUCACACGUGAGGUGCCCUCUCAGUGUAUCAUAUCAGGAGUUAAAUUACAUUGGUAUGUCUCAUUACUUGGGAUAUGUAACCACUUGUUUAAAAUGGUGUCUGCUAGCUCUUCUGUUGCUCUUAGCACAUUUAGCCUUGUACUGUAUAUACUUUUGUCAGCAUGUUAGGACUGGAGAGGAUCAAAGCAAUGAUUUGGCAAUAAUAUAAAAGUAACAUAAUAUCAGGUAAUUUAUACUGAGGAUUUAGCAUAUGCUAGGAACUACACAUAUUAGUUCAUCUAAUCCUUAAAAUAUCCCUUUAAAGUUGACACUUUAUCAGCUCCAUUUUAUCUUUUUGGAGAAGACAUUCCUUGUUGACAAGUACUGUCUCGAGAAGAGGGAAUAUAACCUGCUCAUUUUUAUCCCACACAGGGUCUAGUACAGCACUCUUCAUAAAGUAAGGGGUAGAAAAUAUUUGUUAACUUAAAUUGAAAUGAAAUGGAAGGCAGAAUCUUGAGACUGUAUAACUAAUUAACGUCAACAAAGGAGAAGGAUUCCUGGGUAAUUAGGAGGUGCUGAGUUUGUGGGAGGGGAACACAUAUAGGAAAUGAUUUCUUUUCAAAGGGACAAAAAGUUGGAACUUUCAUUGGCCAAAGUACGAAGAGUGGCUUAAAGUAAAGACUUGGGCGUACAUUCACAUUUAUUUGGCAGAAGAAAAAUCAGUAAAGGAGAAAAGGAGUGAAGUGUAAACAAGGUAGAAGAAGCAAGAUAGUGUAGUCUUAUGGCUAGACAAUUUUAAAAUCUGAAAUGAAGAAAAUUAAGUGGGAAUAUGCAUAAAGCCAUUCUUAAAUUACAAUGAAUAUUUUGGGAAAACUGUAAAAACACAUUUGAUGAAGUUGUUACUGGUUUUUAAAAAUUUAGGCAAUGCAUAAUUAUCCAUAGUAAUGCAAAAGAACAAUAUCAAGCAUAAAUCAGAAGAAUGGAUGAUUCUGAACAUGUAGAAGUGACCAUAAAGCACAUUGUGUAUGAUUUCUGAGGCAGCAUAUUUCCCUUUCAAUGACUGCUGAAUUUAGAUGAAGAACAGCUUUUAUUUCUUAAUGCAAAACCUGAGUGCUGGAAGGGAAAGAAAACCGGAAUUUGAAAAGUGGUCACAUGUUUAUAGUUAAGGGCUUAUUAUAAAUAUAAGACUGUUUCCCAGUGUUCUAAAUGUAAGCCCUUUCUGGCUUUAUCAACUUUCCAAUUUUACAAUAAAGGAGAUCAGGUCACUGGACCAGAACUCAGACCUGGCUUCUAUUCUUAGCAUGACCACUAACUGUGUAGUGAAGCGGGGAAAUUCAUUCUGGCCCUUUGGGCCCCGGACAAGGAGGUUAUUAACUAGACGAUUUCAGUGAUCCCCUCUGGAGCUAAAUCUCUGAAGCUGGUUCUGUUGUUUAGGGAAUGCUAGCUAUAUAACUGGUUUGCAUGACAUACAAAUUUUAUUUACUGGAUUAUUUGACAUAUGUAAGUAGUUCCUUAAAAGCAGAGUUUUCUAGAGAAAAAUAUAAGUGGAGCGAUUCAUUGCCAGAGCCACACAACAUGGUAAUUAUAGAAUUAAGAAUUACAGGAAUAGCUUUCUAUUUAAAACAAGCUUGGAAUUUUCCAUUUGUUUGGAGUUUUCUCUGAAGCAUUAAGAAUGGCCCUUGCCAAUUAGUUCUCUCUCCCUGUGUCGUUGCAUGAGCUGCCUUUGUGUGAAAGAUUGGUCCUGGAAGCCCAAAGCAGCCAGGAAGAAAGGUGUGAGGCUAGAGUGCCCAGCAGUUCUUCAGAGAGGACAGAUGGAGUAAAGAACUAAAGAGGGGAGGAGCCUGACAAAGGAAUGAAAUUAAUUUGGAUGGGACCCAUGGAGAUUGGAUGAAGUCAAAUAGUUUAUCAUUAGAAGGGCUUAUUUUGCAUCCAAAGUAGUUUUCUUCUGAAAGAAGACCCCUUAAUCAUGGGAAACAUUCUUCUUCCAUGGCAGUCUCUGUUUUAAGUCUUUAUUCUUGCCUCUUCCCUCUUCAACUUUGUUGUCCUUUCUCCCCCUUUUCCCCACUCCCCUCCCAUUUUUCUCCUUCCCUCCCCCUCUUAACACUCUUUCAUGAUUAGAUUAAUUUGUUUGCCCAGACAAGGGGAAGAAUGAUUUGCAGACUUGUAAGAACAGGCUUCCUUUCCCAGUGCACAAUAAGCCGCAAAACAUUGAACUCCUCUCACUGCCCUGUGAGCAAGAAAAAGGGACACUUAGUCCUAAAACAAAAGAAAAGACUCUGAGAUCUUUUUAAAUUGAACUAAUGAAAGUCCUGCUAUUGUGAGGAGAGAAGCAGGGUGUGUGUGUGUGUGUGUGUGUGUGUGUGUGUGUGUGUGUAGAAAGACUAUAAGGCUCUGAUAAAGAUGGAUGCCAAGGUUACAGAGGAUAGGAGGGUAGAAGGAAGCACACAGGAGCCUUGAAGAAGGAGAGAUAGUUUGAGUUGAAUAUAUGUCUGAAAUAGUGCAAUUUUCACACUAUCAAGUUCAUAUUCCUAGGAAGAGGGAGUCUGGAGUAAGUCUGAGCAAGCUAGUUAACCUCCCUGAGUCUAAGUUUCCUAGGCACAUUCACACUUUCUCACACUGUUUUUGGAGGGGCACAUAAUAAGUCAUUCUUGUGCUGGUGCUUAGAGAGUUGUGUGAUAUUAGAUACACUCUUGAGUAUUAACUUGCCCAUCUGCAACAUGGGAAUAAUGAUGGAGGGUUUUCAUGGGAAUUUAAUGAGAUAGAGCCUAGCAUAAGGAAAUACCUGAUUCUUGUUUAUUCUCUUAUUUUCCCUUGGGUACAGGAUAUCUUAAGUAUUGGGAAAUAAUAAGUUAGUUUGUAUUACUCAUCUUUAAUACUAGCCUAAUACUAGCCUAAAAGCAUAGUUAAGAGCUUAAACUUACUGAAAAUCAUAUAUGCAUUAUACAGUAAAAUAGAAGAGCAUUUAAUGUGGUUUGUUGUGUUUAAAUUAUCAAUUGGCCAUUGAUAACAGCUAACUCAGAGUUCACAUAUGAGCAAAUGGUUAACAGAACAAAGUAUCUAAUUUGUGGUCUCAUCUGCUUACAUGAUAAUCAACUGGUGUCCUGUCAGCAUCACCCAAUGAGAAUGGACACCCUUGUGAUAGUUUGCACCGCAUAUUCUCACUCAUAGGUGGGAAUCGAACAAUGGGAACACUUGGACACGG